AUACGUAGGUGACAAGCGUUAUCCGGAUUUACUGGGCGUAAAGGGCGUGUAGGCGGUCUUGCAAGUCAGAAGUGAAAUUCCUGAGCUCAACUCGGGCGCUGCUUCUGAAACUGCAGGACUUGAGUGCUGGAGGGGAUAGCGGAAUUCCUAGUGGAGCGGUAAAAUGCGCAGAUAUUAGGAAGAACACCGGUGGCGAAGGCGGAUUUCUGGGCAGGAGUCGACGCUGGGGGGCAAAAGCGGGGGGAGCAACCAGGAUUAUAUAGCCUGGUAGUCCACGGCGUAAACGAUGAAUACUAGGUGUAGGGGGUAUCGACUCCCUCUGUGCCGCAGUUAACACAAUAAGUAUUCCGCCUGGGGAGUACGGCCGCAAGGUUGAAACUCAAAUGAAUUGGCGGGG
rnacentral:rRNA from 1 species